UUCUAUUCAUAUACUUGAGUCCUCCCUCACAGCUUAAAUUCCUAUAGAUCAAGAGUCAAAUAUAAUUUGUGUCUCCCCUUGUAACUAAAAGCCGCAUAUGGCUGAACGACUUUGGAAGCAUUAAAAACUUUUCUGAGUCUCAAUUUCCAUGUUUAUAAAAAUAGUGAUAAUAUUAUCAGGUUAUUAUAAUGAUCACUAAAUGCCAUAGUUUAUCUAAAGUAUGUCUAGUGCCUUCACACACGAUGUCCUUAACAAAUAUGAGUCCCCUCUUGGCUUGUUUAUAGGAAAUAUUCCAGUAAAAAUUUUACAGCCCUGGAGUCAGUAGCGAUGUUCUGGAAAAUGUUUAACAACUGGCUCUAUAGUAGGGGAAACAGCUGCCUGAUUUGUAGUAUUUCCCGUUAUCUGGAAAUCCUCCUGUUGCAGCUGAUUUCAAGUAAUCAACAUGACAUCACCGAACACAGAGCUGGGAAGAGAUGACUCGUAACGAAGAAUGAUGUAACAUUUCCAUUGCACAGAUUCAGAUGCAAUAGAUGUAAAUAACCUCAAGAGCACAGAUAAUAAUACGGAGUAAAAUAGAAAGUGGUGAGUUUUAAAUAGAACUUAUUUCGAUAUAAUUUAUGUUGGUGUGAGCUAAUUUAACUUUUAAUCAUGGCUGUAUUUAAAAAUUGGCUCACAGAUUCAGGAAAAUUUAGCAAUUGGCUCUUGUAAGGCAGUACCAGCCAACAAACCCAUUGUGUUUCAUCUCCCACUUUCCCAAUCUACCUUUCUAGGGGUUCUUCCUUGAGGACAGAGUUGGAAAAGUGGGAGUUUUCCUCUGAUAUUUCUGUGGAACUGAGCUUUGGAAUCUUCGGCUCAGUGUCCUGUAUCCUCUAUCACUCCCACUUCUACCCUGGGUCACUGCUUGAUUUACUGCAGAACAGAGAGAAAUGGAUGAGGGCAGCCCACCCUCUUCUUUUACUGUCCUGCCCCGUUAACCUCCCAGCACCACUCCACACAAAGCUGCAGGAGUGAUUAUGGCUUCCUGUGACGAAGAGUUGAAGAGUAAUUAGAGAAAAUUAGAAUGUUGGAAGAGAAAAAUCUAAAAGCUGUAGGAUAACUGUGACUUUUCCAGAGUCCAAGGGAAACAUACAAAACACUUCACUUUUUAAAUUCAAGAACUAUUUAUUUGAUAUUUAGGUUUACCCUGUACUAAGCAGAGAGCAUGUUUAACAAGAGGGAGGCAUUCUAAGAAUUUAAUUUGGUAUCUUAUUGUCUGUUUUUAUUGUUUCCCAAAGAAUCCAUUUUUUUUCCUACCUGCCCAAGGCGAACUGGAGAACAACAGUUCUUUCAAAUUUGGUGUCAAGUUGUCUCAGUCUCACACUAGAUGAGGUAUGGGGGGUGGGGAUGAAGGAUUUUCAGAAUAUAUAUUGAUGACUUCUCACAUCCUGGAUUCCAACAAAGACAUUGGGCUGAGGAAGGUUUGGGGCUCCACGUUUUAUAGAAAUUGCAAAACCUUCCAGGUGUAGUCUCUCUGGAGAUCUUCUUGCUGGGGAAAAUUAUAGUCAUACCUAUUUAUUCUCUUUAAUAUUUUGUGGGGACUAUUAACCUAUUUCAUUAAGCACAUAGAAAUAUUUCUGAAGGACAACCAUUAAUUCUCAGUGCCAGUAAACCCCAAGCCCCUAAGAGGAACAGAAGGUUUAUACAAUGGUCUUAUAACUUUCAAGGCACCUCUUGCCAUGCAGUCAGAAAAUCUUGUUAGGCAGAGAAGCUGAGUUCCUUUGUUUUGCUCUGUUAUUCUGAAAUUACUCACACCAUCCAAGAAUGAGAAACAAGCACAUUCCUGGUCUACGUUGCUCCUUCAGCCUCUUACAGGACAGCUCCAGGUAACGCUGAAAACUGGGUUUCAGGUGUUAAGACCAGAGAGGUUAAAUGAGACAAACUCCCUGUUAUGGAGGAAAACACAGGUACGCAGAUAAAAGACCAUGAUGCGAUGUGAUAAAGGCUGUAACAGUAUGAACUAAAUGGGGGCAUUCCUUUUCCAUGUGGUAGCAGUUAUAACAGUAGCCUUCCAGAUCCCUAGGGACUUUCAAUUUCUAAAAUUAAUUGUUCCUUCCUGCAGGCCCCUCGAGAAGAAGUGCAAGCACGGGUUCCAGAGGGAUCACUUGGACAUUUACAAGGCAGAAGCAUCCAGAGAAGGCCCUUCUCUGUGACUUUGGGGCCAUGUGCUUCAUCUCCGGUGCAAUGAAUUGGCCAGGGUCUGUCUGUGCCUAGGUUAUUAGUCGUUCUCCAGGUGAAGAGUCAGACCAGGUGGAAUAAGGAGUUAGUCUGCUAGGAAGAGGGGUUGCUCUAACUACAAGAUAGGAAAGGAAGGAUGCUGGACAGGCAGCAAAACAGAUGUCCACUACACUGAGGAUAGACUUCUAACUUUUCUACUAGAGAUAAUGCAAUUCAAGUAGCAUCAUCAACUUAUGCAUAGGUAAAUAUGCCUCAGAGAGGCCAAAUACUGAUUACUGUGCCUUUAACCACACAGUCAACAAAGAGUACAUUCCAUUCGCUAGUACCUGGUACCUACGCAUAUACGCAGUAAAAAUGAUAUAUCUUUGUAGCCCCUAGUCCAGUGCUUGGCACACACGAAGGACUCAAUGAACACUUGUUAAAUUAAUAAAUGCACACAUGAAUGUACUGAAUAUAGAUAUGUCAGCCUUUAAUCUAUAGGGGCUUUCAGGAGGCACUGCUGACUUUUCUUAAUGAAGAAUUUAUUUUGUAAACCUAUGUCCAGCAGCAAAAGUUUAAAAUUUUGACUUCUGAGCCAGCAUUUUAGAAACUUACUUUAUCCUCACCCACUGGCGUUGGAAACCAAGAACAUCUGAAAGCUUUUGUAUAAUCUGAUUAAGAGCUGAAUAAGAAGAGGCAAGGGGUUAACGAUUAGUGGUUUAACACCACAUUUACCUAAGCUGAAAGGUUUUUCUAAAGAUCUUUUAAAAAAACCUUUGUGGAGUAUGUAAUAUGAGGGCUGGGCUUGCAGCCCAAAGUUAACACAUCCACCACCCUUUCUGCCCAUUCUUGUCACUUUCAAUGCUCAGAAUUCUUCCACACCUAAGCUCUGAGACAAUCCUGCUCCAUUUUCAUCUGGGACAGAAUUAAUUCCCUGGUUUUAUAGCGCCAUCAGAAAUCUGUAAGCUUUUACUCUUGAGGGACUGUGUGGUUUAUAACAUGCACUCUCAAGGGAGCUGAUAUCACCGUCCAGAAGGCAACAACUGGUUCUCAGCUUGGGGAAAUCUUAGACAUUAUAAUGACCUGCUGCCCUUCAAAGGACCACAGGGCAUAAACAGAUAGACAGCAUCUUGGAUCAUUUCACUGGGGCAAAUGAGUCAAAAACGAUUUUAAGAGGCUCCUUUAGUGGAGCAACAACAAGAUAAUUUUUUAAGGGUUGGGAAGCACUAGGUUACAAGGAAAUACUUGAAAAAACACAAAUGCUGUUUCUCUUCUCAUCCUACUGUGCCUCCAGGGAAAAGGAUAUUGCACAGUGAGUUAGGAGGGUUGGCUUCUAACUUUCAUAUCUACCACCAAUGAGUAAAAACUUUCAUUUUUUUAUUCACUAAAUAUUUAUUGAGCAACUUCUAUGUUCAAGGCACUGUACUCCAGGACUCUAGAGAGAGGUACAAUGAUAAACAAGGCAUAGUGUUCUCAGAGGGUUUAUCUUUGGGAAUUGCCUAGAUACUAAAAAGCUCCAAAUAUCUAUAAGUAAUAAUGCUGAUGAUAAUAAAUGCAAUAGAGGUCAAUGGUACAUUAUAAUUAAUUAAACAAAUUAUAAUAAAUGCUAUAAAGAAUUUUUAAAAGGACAACAGGAAGUUAAGCUGGUAGAAUAUGAACAGAUAUGGCCUUCCUGAGAAGGCUGAUAUAAAGUGAGUCUUGAAUGGUAGGAAGGAUCCAGCCCCACGGAGAUCUGGGGGCAGAGUGUCCAGGCAGAAGAGCAAAGACGAAAGUCCUGGGGCAGGUGUGGGUUUGUACAAGGGACGGAAGAUGUGGCUGGAAGGAGCUGACUGGGCGGAUGGCAGGUGUGGAGCGGUGGGGUGAAGCUGCUGAGUGGCUGUCCUGUUCCAGAAGGCUAAACUGAGCCUCAUGUAAUUCAGGACCUGGGAGAGAUGCCGCAAAUCUCGACAGUGAGGAAAGUAAGGCAGCAAAUAAAACUUAAAGCACCUCCAAGGAUGCUGUCACUGGGCUGGGGCAAAUGCAUGGUUCACCCGGAGAGGAAGGAGUGGGAAGGACUCCUGCAAGCAGAACCUGCCUCCCUUCUAUUUUCGAUUUUUGAGAGGCACAGACCGCUUUUCUCACUCUGCUGAGCUGCUUCUCAUGUUACUUUGGAGCUGCUGCGUAGUGAGGGAGAGCACAGGACUGGGGGCCAGGGGCCUUGGCCCCCAGAUCUCCAUCUGUUCCUAAAUAACUCUGUGUGACAUGAACAAGUCCAUUCGGGGAUCUGGGCCUCCAGACCCUUAUCUGGGGACCAUGAUUAAGAUUCCUCCUAGAACGCAGACUCUGUGAUUCUAUUAUUUUCCUCUUCACCAGAGAUGAGGAGGCGCAUAAACCCUGCAUGCAAGCGCACCCAAACUCUCCUAAAACAAUCAAGCAACUUCCUUUGAAAUGGCUGAGAAGGAAAGUCGCGAGGACCUUGCAGAAAAUGAUGAAACCCAGUCCCGGCUGAAUAUUAAGUUAGAGCGAGGUCUGCAACUGGGCUGGGGGUGGAGAGAGGGGGAGCUGCCAGGGUUGGGGAGAGAGAAAUUUUAAUUGCGAUUGUUUGGCCUGCUGAUCCUAGGCAAAUGACAAGGAGCCCCCAAGCAGCCUCAAACACGGAUAUGUGAAAGGCAGAGACGGCUGGGGGAUGGUUUGGCUUCGCCCUCCCCUCCGAGGCUGUUUGAGGAGCGGUCUGCAGCGCUGACAAGCACGGGUUUUGGAGGCCAUUGAAAAGUUUUGGGCCUAAAUAGGGUAGGCAGCUUGGCUUAAGUGUUGCUAUGGAAUACCUGGCAACCGGCAACAAUAGGCCUUUUAGAGAAUCCAGGGCAAACAGUGACCGUGGUAAUGGGGUGGGCUUAAGGGUCUCCUUGCCCGGCUGGGCCCCUCCUCUCCUCACACAGAGGCCUGGGCACUGGGCUAUGUUCCGGAAAUUCCCUGCACAAAGCCCCAUUCAGUGGGAGGAGGGUCAAUGCGUGUGCUUUGGGAGGGGGUGGCGGUGGGACGGCGGGGUGGGGAGGGGGCGGGGGAGGGGUUUCAGGAGAAGGAGCUUUACUG
rnacentral:lncRNA from 1 species